rnacentral:rRNA from 1 species
CGGGACACGUGGUAUCCUGUCUGAAUAUGGGGGGACCAUCCUCCAAGGCUAAAUACUCCUGACUGACCGAUAGUGAACCAGUACCGUGAGGGAAAGGCGAAAAGAACCCCGGCGAGGGGAGUGAAAAAGAACCUGAAACCGUGUACGUACAAGCAGUGGGAGCACGCUUAGGCGUGUGACUGCGUACCUUUUGUAUAAUGGGUCAGCGACUUAUAUUCUGUAGCAAGGUUAACCGAAUAGGGGAGCCGAAGGGAAACCGAGUCUUAACUGGGCGUUAAGUUGCAGGGUAUAGACCCGAAACCCGGUGAUCUAGCCAUGGGCAGGUUGAAGGUUGGGUAACACUAACUGGAGGACCGAACCGACUAAUGUUGAAAAAUUAGCGGAUGACUUGUGGCUGGGGGUGAAAGGCCAAUCAAACCGGGAGAUAGCUGGUUCUCCCCGAAAGCUAUUUAGGUAGCGCCUCGUGAAUUCAUCUCCGGGGGUAGAGCACUGUUUCGGCAAGGGGGUCAUCCCGACUUACCAACCCGAUGCAAACUGCGAAUACCGGAGAAUGUUAUCACGGGAGACACACGGCGGGUGCUAACGUCCGUCGUGAAGAGGGAAACAACCCAGACCGCCAGCUAAGGUCCCAAAGUCAUGGUUAAGUGGGAAACGAUGUGGGAAGGCCCAGACAGCCAGGAUGUUGGCUUAGAAGCAGCCAUCAUUUAAAGAAAGCGUAAUAGCUCACUGGUCGAGUCGGCCUGCGCGGAAGAUGUAACGGGGCUAAACCAUGCACCGAAGCUGCGGCAGCGACGCUGAUGCGUUGUUGGGUAGGGGAGCGUUCUGUAAGCCUGUGAAGGUGUGCUGUGAGGCAUGCUGGAGGUAUCAGAAGUGCGAAUGCUGACAUAAGUAACGAUAAAGCGGGUGAAAAGCCCGCUCGCCGGAAGACCAAGGGUUCCUGUCCAACGUUAAUCGGGGCAGGGUGAGUCGACCCCUAAGGCGAGGCCGAAAGGCGUAGUCGAUGGGAAACAGGUUAAUAUUCCUGUACUUGGUGUUACUGCGAAGGGGGGACGGAGAAGGCUAUGUUGGCCGGGCGACGGUUGUCCCGGUUUAAGCGUGUAGGCUGGUUUUCCAGGCAAAUCCGGAAAAUCAAGGCUGAGGCGUGAUGACGAGGCACUACGGUGCUGAAGCAACAAAUGCCCUGCUUCCAGGAAAAGCCUCUAAGCAUCAGGUAACAUCAAAUCGUACCCCAAACCGACACAGGUGGUCAGGUAGAGAAUACCAAGGCGCUUGAGAGAACUCGGGUGAAGGAACUAGGCAAAAUGGUGCCGUAACUUCGGGAGAAGGCACGCUGAUAUGUAGGUGAAGCGACUUGCUCGUGGAGCUGAAAUCAGUCGAAGAUACCAGCUGGCUGCAACUGUUUAUUAAAAACACAGCACUGUGCAAACACGAAAGUGGACGUAUACGGUGUGACGCCUGCCCGGUGC